rnacentral:rRNA from 1 species
GGAGGAAAAGAAACUAACAAGGAUUCCCUUAGUAACUGCGAGUGAAGAGGGAAAAGCUCAAAUUUUAAAUCUGGUAGUCUUUGGCUAUCCGAGUUGUAAUUUAGAGAAGUGUUAUCCGCGCUGGACCGUGUAUAAGUCUCCUGGAAUGGAGCGUCAUAGAGGGUGAGAAUCCCGUCUUUGACACGGACUACCAGGGCUUUGUGAUGCGCUCUCAAAGAGUCGAGUUGUUUGGGAAUGCAGCUCUAAAUGGGUGGUAAAUUCCAUCUAAAGCUAAAUACUGGCGAGAGACCGAUAGUGAACAAGUACCGUGAGGGAAAGAUGAAAAGAACUUUGGAAAGAGAGUUAAAUAGUACGUGAAAUUGUUGAAAGGGAAACGCUUGAAGUCAGUCGUGUUAAUUAGAGAUCAACCUUGCUUUUAUUGCUUGGUGUAUUUUCUGGUUAAUGGGUCAGCAUCAAUUUUGACUAGUGGAAAAAGGUCAGGGGAAUGUGGCAUCCUUGGAUGUGUUAUAGCCCUUGGUUGUAUACAUUGGUUGGGAUUGAGGAACUCAGCAUGCCGCAAGGCCAGGUUUUUAAAACCAUGUUCAUGCUUACGAUGCUGGCAUAAUGGCUUUAAUCGACCCGUCUUGAAACACGGA